CGUUUCGCGUCAAAAGUUCGCCACACAUCGUCGGAUUCAGUCCCAACCAUAGGCGCACGCAGGGAUCUCGUGCAAUAAACACGGAGAUGGUUGCCAACGGCAUGACUGCUGACCAUCUACAUCCACACUUACCAGUGACGACUUUUAACGAAACAGGGAUGGAAAGACAAGCCUGUUUCACAGCUCAAAAAAAAAAAAAAAA